rnacentral:rRNA from 1 species
GACGAACGCUGGCGGCGUGCUUAACACAUGCAAGUCGAGCGGUAAGGCCCUUUCGGGGUACACGAGCGGCGAACGGGUGAGUAACACGUAGGUAACCUACCUCCGGGACCGGGAUAACCUGUCGAAAGACGGGCUAAUACCAGAUAAGACCACCGAGGUUGCGGCCUCGGCGGUAAAAGAUGGCCUCUGCUUGCAAGCUAUCACUUGGAGAUGGGCCUGCGCGCCAUUAGCUAGUUGGGGGUAGG